rnacentral:rRNA from 1 species
CCUACGGGGGGCUGCAGUGGGGAAUAUUGCACAAUGGGGGAAACUCUGAUGCAGCGACGCCGCGUGCGUGCAGAAGUAACUCGUUAUGUAAAGCUCCUUCAGCAGGGAAGUAAAUGACGGUACCUGAGUAUGAAGCCCCGGCUAACUACGUGCCAGCAGCCGCGGUAAUACGUAGGGGGCCAGCGUUAUCCGGAUGUACUGGGUGUAAAGGGAGCGUAGACGGCAGUGCAAGUCUGGAGUGAAAGGCGGGGGCUCAACCCCCGGACUGCUCUGGAAACUGUACGGCUGGAGUGCAGGAGAGGUAAGUGGAAUUCAUGGUGUAGCGGUGAAAGGCGUAGAGAUUAGGAGGAACACCAGUGGCGAAGGCAGCUUACUGGGCUGUAACUGACGUUGAGGCUCGAAAGCGUGGGGAGCAAACAGGAUUAGAUACCCCAGUAGUC